AGAAAAAGAGCUUUCGAAGCAGAGGCAAAAGCUAAGAUCAUGAAGGAAGAAAUUGGUUAAAUAUCAAUCUAAAUCGUGGUUUCGGAACCACAAAUUGACCUAUUACAUCAAUAGGUAACGGCAUUUGAUCUGUUUAUCACGUCGACAAAUUCAACCUGUCCCCUAUGGAGGUUAGCUUUUAAAAGCGGUAGACAGUAGAGUCUAGGCCGGGUCAGGUCCUCUUUGUAAUUCGAUACAACUCCAAGACCAUUCUCUUCUCAUUUGGAUAAAUACAGGGUCUUUCUCGGCUUUCGACGUUAACCUCACCCAUCACGUGACUUUGAGUCAUAGACUCAUAAGUAACAACUCUUUGAAAGGCACGUGUCACCCAUCCUCCUUAACUCGAUGUCUCGAUCUUAUCGCCAUUCCGUACGUGCCCGUUGAUCCUCUUCCCACGUCAUUGGUACCCACUAGAUCCGAAUCGACGGUUCAGAUUACAUUUUCCUACCAAAACCUGCUCGACCUAUAACGCCUCCCUUCCUUAAAUAACCCCUGGAUCCAGAUCUUACUUCCUCUAUUCCGAGUGUCGGAGUCUUGUUACUACGCAAGAGUGGCUAACGUACUCCAUGGGUCUACUGGACCAGCUGUGGGACGACACCGUCGCCGGUCCGCGGCCGGAUAGCGGCCUCGGAAAACUCCGGAAGAAUUCUGUCUUCUCCUUUCGAUCUGGUUCCGGCAAGGAAUCUGAUAGCGGGAACGCGAGAUCGUCCGGUGAGGACUCAUCGGAGGAGGCGAUGAGAGUUACGCGCAGUAUCAUGAUAAUAAAGCCACCCGGGUACCAAUUAAACGGUUCGCCUCCGGUCUCGCCGGCCGGCUCUACUCCUCCGGUGUCUCCCUUGUCCGGAGGUGGUAGAGACUCCUUUCGAUUUCGAAGAAGGUCGACUUCGGAUGCGUAUGAAAAGGCGAGCGGUGAAGUCCCAACCAGAAGUUCGGCAUCGCCUCCUUAUGAUGUGUGAUAUGUGAGAAUCUUUCCUCCUCCAAAUAUUAAAACUCGAAUCUUCUAAUGUAUUUAGGUAUGCUAUGUUCUUUACCGGGGUAUGUGGUGGAUGCUGUGUGCUUGUUAGUGUAGAUAUCGUACUGUGUAGCCAAGCUUUUUUGUAUAUGAAGCGAGUUUCGAGUUUUGAUGUUGGAGAGUUUGUGGCAGAACGCGGCUAGUGUUCUAUCUCAUGUAUAAUAUACAUAAAACUUCUCUGCAUGGCUUCUAUUUCUGUAUGGCUCGGUUUGCUCAAAAUAAUAAGAAGAGUAACACCUCUCUCUCUUUCUCCCUA